GUCUAUCACCAUACCACCCUGAACACGUCUGAUCUUGUCUGAUCUCAGAAACUAAGCAGGGAUGGAUCUGGUUAAUACUUGGAUGGGAGAAAGCAUAGAGAGGUGCAGCCAGGGUGAUGUGCC
rnacentral:rRNA from 1 species